rnacentral:rRNA from 1 species
GAUGAACGCUGGCGGCGUGCCUAAUACAUGCAAGUCGAGCGAACAGACGAGGAGCUUGCUCCUCUGACGUUAGCGGCGGACGGGUGAGUAACACGUGGAUAACCUACCUAUAAGACUGGGAUAACUUCGGGAAACCGGAGCUAAUACCGGAUAAUAUAUUGAACCGCAUGGUUCAAUAGUGAAAGACGGUUUUGCUGUCACUUAUAGAUGGAUCCGCGCCGCAUUAGCUAGUUGGUAAGGUAACGGCUUACCAAGGCAACGAUGCGUAGCCGACCUGAGAGGGUGAUCGGCCACACUGGAACUGAGACACGGUCCAGACUCCUACGGGAGGCAGCAGUAGGGAAUCUUCCGCAAUGGGCGAAAGCCUGACGGAGCAACGCCGCGUGAAUGAUGAAGGUCUUCGGAUCGUAAAACUCUGUUAUUAGGGAAGAACAAAUGUGUAAGUAACUAUGCACGUCUUGACGGUACCUAAUCAGAAAGUCACGACUAACUACGUG